UUUUUUUUUUGUUUUUUUUGUUUGUUUUUUUUGUUUUUUGUUUUUUUGGUGUUCUCCCUUUUCUGGUCAUUGGUUUUCAACAACUCCGCCAUUUCUGUGUCCCAAGGCAAUAAAUAGGAAACAAAAUAUUGGAAAGUGGAGCAAGAAAAGUUAUCUGUUCCCCUAUCAGAGCCCGGUGUCUUGGGUGACAUGGGCAGGGUGUAUUGGAGUGCUUUCUCUUGUGGUGCUGACAUAGUAGCCGUGCGGUAUCUCAGAUAAAACCAGGUUGGAUUUCUCAGAAAUUUGCCACCUGGUUGUGAAUCCUAUCUUCUUAGUUUCUGCAGGAAAAUUGUUGUUAUAUGGGGUUUCAUUUUGUUGUGGGUGGGGACAAUCUCAUGGGGAAAAUGUACUGCAUAGUAUAAGGGGCUCAGGCCCCCCGAGCAGAGUCAAGAAAUACCAAAAUCAGUAAACUGGGAAGCUUUUCUCUCUUUCUGUCUUCAUCCCAGAUCAAAGAAUCCCGAGUUAGGAUCUGGAUGAAGGAUAAGCCCCUGAAUUGCUGAUGGGCACACCCCACACAAUGACCCAGCAUCUGAACUUGCUUAACAGGGAGCCGGGGCUAAACUGCUUCACCCUGCCUGGGAACCAGGGAGCACUGCAUUUCUCCACAGGGUGGAGGAGAAGCGGCAGGAUAAACCAAGCCUGGGACACCUCCCUCCCAUCCAGGUGUGCUCACCCUCCUGUUUGAAAGACGGCAAGGACAUGAAGUCAACGUGUACCUAUUUGCUGCUGCUGCUGCUGCUGGAGUUUAUGGUUUUUUUUUUCUUUUUUUUGACCUAUUCUUCUGUCUUUGGGCUUCAUGUUAAGGGUCUUUGGACAAAAAUCUGCUCUGAUGUACAAGAAUAUUUCAGUGUAUCUUAAAACAAGUGUUUUCGAGGUGAGCAAGGGGACCUGAUGUAAUUGCCAAAGCCAGCUUGAGGGUGAUAACUCUUGAAUUGGAUUUUCCUUUUGUCAGGCCAAGGCCUGAAAAAUCUGUAACAGCAAUAUAUCAUGAAUUUUCAGAAGAGCCAGUGGGUCCCAUAGUGUCCUCACUGGUCCCAGCAGAUGUCAGUAUACAAAACAUAAUCAAUCCCUGGGCAAUCUUGUGCUCUACUUUAUCUUCAUCCUUAGCCACGUCCUCCUGUCAUUUGUCUCGGAGUCACGUUUUGGAGAGACAGGAAGUAUUAUCUUAGAAACUAGGUUGGGAAAAUGUUCAACUAUAGAGCUGAGAUUUAAAUUUUGAGUUUAAAAAUGUACAUCAGGAGCAAUGGAAAGGGUGUUUUCUUAAAGGCAUUUCUAAUUUGCUUUUCUGUGUGUAUGUCUGUUCUGUAAAUAAUUUUUUCAUUUUUGAAAGUGGAUAAAAUCUGUGGAUUUUCCCUCUUAAAACAACACAAAAAUAAAACUUUCUUUACAUGCAAAUAAAUUUCUUUG
rnacentral:lncRNA from 1 species